CAGGAAUCGCCUGAGAACACAUAGGUGCUACCUACCUUCCUGAAGGAUCUGGUGCCCAGUGUGACAGAGAACACCUGGCAGCUCCAUUUAGGUCCCAGUGUUCCCAACCCUUGCUUUUGCUCUCAACACAAAAAGAAAUGGAGAACGAAGCCGUGAAGCCUGGUGAGGUAUUUUCUGAAGAGUGGUCCUUUGGCAUCUAAUCCCAGAACUCAAGAGGAGGAAACAGUUGUCAUAUUCAAGUAUGGGCCCAAUUACUUAGCAAUAUUGCAUCUACACACACAGAGACCUACCUGCCUCCUGGGUAAUGGGAAUGAACAAGCCACCAUGCCUGACAAUUGCCUUUGUCUUAGUCUCAGCUGCACUGUUGCUUUCAGUGAAUAUCACAUCCCCAUAGUUACGGGAAGCAGAUGACUUUUGCUUUUGUUUUUGUUUUUUUUCAAAACAAAGAUUGAAGAAGCUCUAGAAGUCUGCCCCAUUUUAAACCUCUCCGGUUUUCCAUCCGAGAAACUUCAGAGACUUAAAGAAGUUUGUGGUUUGGAUCUGAAGUGUCCCUCAUAGACUACUGUGUUGAAGACUUGGUUCCCACCCAGUGCCACUAUUUUGGGAGGCUGUGGAAACCUGAGAAGGCCAGGCCUGUUUGGAGGAAGUAGGUCAGUGGAGGAGCGCCCCUAAAGGUCAUUGCUGACUCCUUGUCGUCUUCACACUCCGCCUCCUGCUCACCACGAGGUGAUAAACCUCUCCUGCUCCAUGCUUCUGCUACCAUGACAUUUUGGUCUAAAUUCAUGGAGCACAGUAGCCAUGGAGGAGUGACCCUCUAAAACUGAGAGCCAAGGGGCUGCUGAGAUGGCUCAGCGGUUAAGAGCACCAACUGCUCUUCUAAAGGUCCUGAGCUCAGAUCCCAGCAACCACAUGGUGGCUCACAACCAUCUGACUCUCUCUUCUGGUGUGUCUGAAGAAAGCUACAGUGUACUUACAAUAAAUAAAUAAAUAAAUAAAUAAAUAAAUAAAUAAAUACAUC
rnacentral:lncRNA from 1 species